AUUGAACGCUGGCGGCAGGCCUAACACAUGCAAGUCGAGCGGAGCGGCGGAGGGGGGAGGAAUGCCGAGGAAUCUGCCAGGUAGUGGGGGAGAAGGUAAGGAAACGGGGGCUAAAACGGCAAAGUAUAAGAUGAGCGGAGGUCGGAGUAGCUAGUUGGUGGGGUAAAGGACUACCAAGGCGACGAUCCGUAACUGGUCUGCGAGGAUGAUCAGUCACACUUUAACUGCGACACGGUCCAGACUCCUACGUGAGGCAGCAGUGGGGAAUAUUGGACAAUGGGCGAAAGCCUGAUCCAGCCAUGCCGCGUGUGUGAAGAAGGUCUUCGGAUUGUAAAGCACUUUAAGUUGGGAGGCGUUACCAGCAGAAUAAGCACCGGCUAACUCCGUGCCAGCCGCCGCGGUAAUAC
rnacentral:rRNA from 1 species